CGAAAUGCGAUAAUUAAUGUGAAUUGCAGAAUUCAGUGAAUCAUCGAGUCUUUGAACGCACAUUGCGCCCCCUGGUAUUCCGGGGGGCAUGCCUGUCCGAGCGUCAUUGCUGCCCUCAAGCACGGCUUGUGUGUUGGACUUCCGUCCCUGGCAACGGGGACGGGCCCAAAAGGCAGUGGCGGCACCAUGUCUGGUCCUCGAGCGUAUGGGGCUUUGUCACCCGCUCCCGUAGGUCCAGCUGGCAGCUAGCCUCGCAACCAAUCUUUUUAACCAGGUUGACCUCGGAUCAGGUAGGGAUACCCGCUGAACUUAAGC
rnacentral:misc_RNA from 1 species